UACGUAGGGGGCAAGCGUUGUCCGGAUUUAUUGGGCGUAAAGAGCGUGUAGGCGGUCAGGUAGGUCCGUUGUGAAAACUCGAGGCUCAACCUCGAGACGCCGAUGGAAACCAUCUAGACUAGAGUCCGGAAGAGGAGAGUGGAAUUCCUGGUGUAGCGGUGAAAUGCGCAGAUAUCAGGAGGAACACCGAUGGCGAAGGCAGGUCACUGGGCCGCAACUGGACGCUGAGGAGCGAAAGCAUGGGGAGCGAACAGGA
rnacentral:rRNA from 1 species